ACAGAAAUCAUUUGCAGAAACUUCCCAAGAGCAAGUCUAAGAAAUUUGGGUCAUUCAUGCAUUAUAAUUAUUCACAUAUGCAUUAUAUAUGACACACUUUUAACUAUUGGACUACCUACAUAAGAUGCCUCUUUUUCACUUGAUCCAAAAAGUUCAUUUGUUCAAUUUGUCUUAUUAAUUAUGAUGAUGGUUCAUAACUUUUUUUUUUUAUGUAUAUAAAUGUCAGGAGGCGUUAACACAAUCUUUCAUUCAAGAAGAGAGAGGAGAAAUUAAUACUUCAGGCACUAUAUUUUCCAGAAUACUCUGGACAUGUGAGAAAUUAUGGUUUGGGGACAAGUGCUGAAGAUAUAUUUUCACGCCAAGUUCUCCCUCCACAAGCAUACCUUGAUGAUAUUUAUCUCAUAGUCAAUACAUUGUCCACGAGAUUGGAGACACUAGAGGGUGAGAAAUUAAAGAGAGAAAAGAAAGAGAGGCAACAAACUGAAGAAGUGGCAGGGAGGCGAUCACUUGAUAAAAUUGUAGAGAGACAACAACAGGAAGGAGUUGUAGAGAGACGACAUCCUAGUGACAAAGAUUUUUGCAACCCUAGUACAAAGGUAAUUGUUUUUUAUUAAAUUCUAAUUAAUAAUUUUAGAUUAAUUAUAUUAAUUUUAAUAAUUCAUUAAUGGUUUAGGUUGUUUCUUCUAUUAAUAUAUAUCUAUCAUCUCCAAAUCGACUCUGAUUGUCCGUGGGAAAUUAUACAACAUCACUGUAGUGAUAUAGUGUACGGUAGAGCUGUCAAAAUGGGUUAGCCCAUAUGGGCCGGCCCGCCAGGCCCGAAAAAUCUUAGGGCUUGAGCCUUAAAAUUAUAGCCCAUAUUUUUCAGGGUCUUUUUAGCCCAGCCCUAAAAAGCCCGCUACCCAUUAGGGCUAGCCCAUAUGGGCCGUGGGUAGCCCAUUAGACCCACAUAAUUAUAAAUUUUAAAAAAAAUAUAUUAAUAUUUAUAUUAUCUUACUACAAAAUUGCAUAUUGAUUUUUCUCACUUCACCAAAUUUUAUCUCUAUUUUAUUCAAUCUUUCUCUUUUAAAUAUUAUACAUUAAUAUAAUCAACAUUUUUUCAUCAUAUUAUAUUAGUUUUUCUCUUAUAAUAAAUAUUCAAGUAUUAUUUUAUACAAUUUAGACAUAUAUUGUAUUUAGAAACACAUUAUAAGAGAUAAUAUAGUACUUAAAAUUGUAUUAUGUUUAAAAUAACAUAAUUUUAUUUUUAUUUUUAAUAAAUAUUAUGGAAUUUUAAUUUUAAUUUUUUUAAAUUAAAAAGCCCAUUUAGGGCCGGGUAGCCCGAAGCCCAUCUAGGGACGGGCUCGGGUAGUAAAUCUCGAGCCCAUAUUAUUCAGGGCCUUUUUGGCCCAGUCCUGAAAAGCCCAGGGCCCGCUAGGGCCGGCCCGUUUAGGGCCGGGUAGCCCAUAUUGACAGCUCUAGUGUACGGUAUAAAAUUACUACCUGAACAUGUUAAAGUUAAGAUUGAAGUUCCUAUUGUGCCAAAUGCUCCACUGCCUAUAUCUGUUGAAUAUAUUGAUAUUUUGAUGGUUGGUCAGGCAAUAAGUGCAAUUGUGCCAAGGACAUUCAAAUCAGUUGACUUUGUUGAUGAAUGUCUAAAGCAACAUCGGUGUAACCAUGCCACAACGUAGUUGAAAGGUGUUUGUCGAACCCUCAUAAAAAUGAAGCGCACCAACUAACAUAUUUUGGCUAUAUGUAUGACCUACCCUAGAUAGUUGAAUCAAAUCGAAAAUACAUUGGUCUUUCCAGGUCCGUCCUUUUUUAGCAUCUACCUUAUUUAGCGAGUUAUUAUAGCUCGAAUAGUCAGUAUAUGGGGCAGAGCAAAAAAUGCGACAAGACAUAUAUGUUAAGUCUAAAGGUUAGUUUACAGCUGCAAAAGGUUUUGUAUGUUCAUGACUAGGGAAAAUUUGACUAACCUUUUCUAUGUUCGUGUUCAAACUAGAGACAAGGCCUAGAAAAGCACGUGUUGUAUCAGAAAUGGUAAGAGGGAUCAACACGUGAGACUUCUAGAUUAGGGAUUUUCUUCCUCAAGCUGAGGUUCAGGAACAAACAGUUAAUUUCCAACAAGAAUUAGCGUCCUAAUAGAUACAACAAGAGAAAUUUGUGGUUUUAAAGUUGAUUUGGGCGCUAUUUGAGUUAAAAAGAGUGAAGAUUAUGAGGAAAUCUGAAGUUUUGGCAGAUCCAACGCUUUCAUGGUAGGGUUUUGAUUUCGUUUCCUGUGGUGGUCGGAGUUGAAUCUCAUACGACGAAGAAGACACCGAUACUCAGAUUUUAGAGGUUCGAUUUUUACUUUAUUAUUUUACAUUCAUUUCAAAAUCUCCAUAUCCUUCAAUUUUACCCUUUUCAGAUCUGUAACCAUUCAAUCGCAGCAAUCUAUAGCGAUUCGUUGACCGAACCUUUUCAGAUCCCCUUUUCAUAUCGUCAUUACUAUCCAUACCAUUGGUAAGUUUUUGUUACUAUGCUUUUAUUGAAUGUGUCUGAUUGUAUGGUUACCGUGAUGUGUUAGUUUUAUGUUUUAGGGUUCAAUGUUGAAAGUUCUAUAUUUACAGGUUUUAGACAACAAGUUCCAUAGCAGAUUGUUAGAGGUAAUGAACUGCAACUUUUGUGAAGUACAAAGAAAUCUUGAUUAUUGUGAUGGUUAACAUGUAUACUAAAACUUACAUAUCCAGUGUUGACAUAUUAUUGUUCUAUAUAUCAGGUCCUGAUUAAUCCAUAUGGGAAAGACAAGAAUAUGGGAGAGGAUUUCAUACUUGAAACUCUAACUUUUUGUUUCUGUAAAAAAAUUAAGUCUUUAAUCUAAAAAACACUUAAUGCUCUUUGUUGACAACUUUGGGAUUUCUUGAAACUAGAGGAGAAAGGCAUGGCAACAAGGGCUACUAUAUUCAUCCUACCUAGUUUUUUUCAUCAAUCAGUUGAUUUUUCAUUAUUACUUUUCUACACAUUUGCUAAAGUAACGCUAUUUUUACAAUUUGCUUUGAUGUAGUGAGAUGCGUAUUUGGAAAGUUGUUCGGUGUCGGGUUAUUGAUUAAAUUGACAUCCGAGAGAUACAUGUUGUGUUAGUGUAUUGUAAAGGGGAAGAUCUUUGUAUGUACAUUCAAUGCCAUGGAAGGGUACUGGAGGCAACUGCAAAGCAUUUUAUGCUUCAGCUGGGUAUGUUUCAUCAAAACUGGAAGGUAAAUAUUGAUGGUUCUUUUUCUUGAAGUGGAAAUACUAAUUUUUGUUUAAUUGGUUAAUGCUUAAGUUGUUAAUAGAAGUAUUUUAUGGAUUAAAUGUCCUUACUAUACUUUACUUGUUUGUAUAUAAAUCAGUUGCAAGUUCGGUUCCUAUUGCCGCUACAAUCAUCCAGACAUGAAUGGUAUAUUCCAAUUGAGGAGAUCCCAGUUAACUACGACGAUUUCAAAAGAGAAAACGAUUCUGAAUUCUACAACCAAGACGCAACUGUUUCUGAACUAAUUCUCUAGGCUGGAAUAACGGCAGACAUAGAGAUACCAGCUGAACUGAAAGGCAUAUACAAGGCAGCCUGGGAGAUCAAGCAAAAGAUAUUGGUUGACAUGGUUGUUGCUGAUUGUUAUUAUCAUCACUUUCAAUUUUGACCAACUGUUGUUGAUUGUUGUUAUUAUCACUUUCAAUUUUGUCUUUAAGGGUUUGAAGACAUGGAUGUACUACCUCCGAACCCGGGCUGUAAGUGAUGCCAUCAAAUUUAUCAUUGAUACCUCUGCCAUUAAAGAGCAAGCAAGGGCAGAGGAGGCUGAUCUUGAUGAAGAUGCCAAGAUGGCACAAAUGGUGAGCUCAUUGACGAACAGAGACGAGUGUUUGUCCUAUGGAAGUUAAAACUACACCUUAGAUUUGCAUCUCUAGGCAUUAAAAAAUCAAUUUACUACAGAAUGGAACCAUUAGUGAAGGAGGCAACAACUGUCUAAAAUUCAAAUGUGUU